UCGGACGUAGUGCAUGGCGCACAUCCGCUGUCUAUGAAGCUGUCACGCAGGAGACUUCGAGGCGCGAGUCCUGGGUUCGACUCCCAGCGUCCGAA